rnacentral:rRNA from 1 species
AGGACGAACGCUGGCGGCGUGCCUAAUGCAUGCAAGUCGCACGCAGAGUGCUUGCACUCUGAGUGGCGCACGGCUGAGGAUCACGUGGGAACAUGCCUCCUUGUGGGGGACAACCCCGCGAAAGCGGGGCUAAUCCCGCAUACGCUCGGCAACGAGGAAAGCUUGUAAAAAGCGCAGGGAGAGUGGCCCGCGGCCCAUCAGGUUGUUGGUGGGGUAAUGGCCUACCAAAGCCGGUGACGGGUAGCUGGUCUGUGAGGACAGACAGCCAGACUGGGACUGAGACACGGCCCAGACUCCUACGGGAGGCAGCAGCAAGGAAUUUUCGCAAAUGGGCGCAAGCCUGAACGAGCAAACGCCGCGUGAGGAUGACGGCCUGGUUGUAACUCUUUUCGGGACGAUGAUGACGGUACCCCGGAAUAAGGCUCGGCUAACUCUGUGCCAGCAGCC